rnacentral:rRNA from 1 species
GGGCCCGCGGCCUAUCAGCUUGUUGGUGGGGUAAUGGCCUACCAAGGCGACGACGGGUAGCCGACCUGAGAGGGUGACCGGCCACACUGGGACUGAGACACGGCCCAGACUCCUACGGGAGGCAGCAGUGGGGAAUAUUGCACAAUGGGCGAAAGCCUGAUGCAGCGACGCCGCGUGAGGGACGACGGCCUUCGGGUUGUAAACCUCUUUCAGCAGGGACGAAGCGCAAGUGACGGUACCUGCAGAAGAAGCACCGGCUAACUACGUGCCAGCAGCCGCGGUAAUACGUAGGGUGCAAGCGUUGUCCGGAAUUACUGGGCGUAAAGAGUUCGUAGGCGGUUUGUCACGUCGUUUGUGAAAACUCACAGCUCAACUGUGAGCCUGCAGGCGAUACGGGCAGACUUGAGUACUGCAGGGGAGACUGGAAUUCCUGGUGUAGCGGUGAAAUGCGCAGAUAUCAGGAGGAACACCGGUGGCGAAGGCGGGUCUCUGGGCAGUAACUGACGCUGAGGAACGAAAGCGUGGGUAGCGAACAGGAUUAGAUAC